UUUACAUGAUGAUAAAACUUUUUUCAGUUCUGCUUCUGAACAUACAGGAAGAUAACCCAUUUACCAAAUAUUAUAUCUGAAUU
rnacentral:snoRNA from 1 species